GCUGGGCAUGGUGGCUCAUGCCUGUAAUCCGAGCACUUUGGGAGGCUGAGGUGGGCGGAUCACCUGAGGUCAGGAGUUCAGAGACCAGCCUGGCCAAGAUGGUGAAACCCCGUCUCUA
rnacentral:SRP_RNA from 2 species